rnacentral:rRNA from 1 species
GAUCAACGCUGGCGGCGUGCUUAACACAUGCAAGUCGAACGAAGUUUUUCCUUCGGGAGACACUUAGUGGCGGACGGGUGAGUAACGCGUGGGUAACCUGCCCUGUACAGGGGGACAACAGCUGGAAACGGCUGCUAAUACCGAAUAAGCACUUAGCACUGCAUGGUGCAUAGGGAAAAGGAGCAAUCCGGUACAGGAUGGACCCGCGUCUGAUUAGCCAGUUGGCAGGGUAACGGCCUACCAAAGCGACGAUCAGUAGCCGAUCUGAGAGGAUGUACGGCCACAUUGGGACUGAGACACGGCCCAGACUCCUACGGGAGGCAGCAGUGGGGAAUAUUGCACAAUGGAGGAAACUCUGAUGCAGCGACGCCGCGUGAGUGAAGAAGUAUUUCGGUAUGUAAAGCUCUAUCAGCAGGGAAGAAAAUGACGGUACCUGACUAAGAAGCACCGGCUAAAUACGUG